CAUUCAAGCAAGUUAAAUUCAUCAUCGUCUACACCGUCGUCAUGCAAUUCAUUUCUAUGUAUUUUAUCCUAAUCUUGUUGGGUAUUCUAAUUUGCCCAUCAUUUUCAUGCAAAAACGACAAAGAAUGUGGACCAGAUGGACAUUGUAUUGGUGCAGCUCCUUGGAAGGAUGGCAAAUGUGAUGAGGGAUUGUUUAGAUAGUAGAAAAUUGACGCAACUUGAGGAUGAUUGCAUAUUAAUCAACAAUGAAAUUUAUGAGCAAAAAAUCGUCGAUGAUUUGUUUUCAUGUUAUCACACAAUUAGAAAUAAUACAUCUAUGUCCUCUGAACUUGAAUGAAUAAAUAAAUGCAUACUUUGAAUCAAUA